GCAGGAAGAUGCAACCCACUGCUCCUUGACUUUGUCCAGUGCAGUACACCUAAAUAUUACUGUCUCUGUUUUACAGGCAAAGAAAUGGCAACAUAGAGAAGAUAGACCCAAGGUCUCCCAAUGGGAAUUUUAAAAAUUAAGCUAGAGGCCUCUCACCAGAGUCCCCAGAUGUAAGCCUACUGUCUACUCUGAUAGCUAAUUCCAAUUUCCAAUGCUGUGUUAACUAUUAUCCAAGAAAGCCAUUAAGUUUUUCUUUUCAAUGCUUCUACAUCAAUGAAACAGAGAAACUUCAAUCACAAAACACUCCACAGCCAUGACAGCUGAUGAUCAGAAUUUACCUUUCUCUUCCAUUUCUGCCUCAUCUUAUCAAAUUCUUAACUCAUGGACAUUUUCACCAAAAUUCCACCAACAGGACAAAAGAAAAACAAGAAAUGAUCAAAUUUUAAACAAGCAAUAUCCUGCUAACUACAUACAGCUCUGUUAAAGAGUGGCUAGGACCUAAGACUAGACUCAAGAUUAAAUUGGAACAAUGCCAUCUUCAACACAUCCAUUUAUAGCCUUCAUCACCAAUGGUAACCAGUCUGCGCUAAAAUUGACAAAACCGUAGUCAUUCCUGUAGAAACAAAACUCUCUGGACACGUGUUGUAAACAAAUAGCUCAUUCAUAUAGAAAAUACUACAGAACAGCUUCUCUCCUCUCAUCUCAGCUGUAGCCAGGCAUUAGUAGAAGGAACAGAGUCUCUCUGAUGAGCUUACUGGCCCAAGUUUUGCCCUCACUCCUCAAGGCUACUAAAGCUGACCCAUAUGCUCACCAGUCUCACCUAAACACAAGGAUAGUCUGCCCUGCCACACAGACAAAGGGUGGCACUAAAAACGACCAUGACUAGCCUGUACUUUAAUUAAUAUGCUUGAAGACAAAGUGUCCCCAGGGGUGUGAGCUUCUCCAGCCAUCGGAGCUCAGGACCAGCAUUUUCAUCCUCAGACUGCCUGAGGAAAAAGCUGGGUAGGGCAACAUUCAUCAAACACAUGAUGAGCCAAAGGCAGGGGGCGAGAUAUUCUUUAUCAUAUUUGCCUUUGGAAAGCAAUCCAUCUCCUUGGUAACAGUUCUAAAAAAGAAAAAGAGAAAGGCGGGGAAUGCUUCUACUAAAUCUUAUACCUUAGCAGGCAGCCUAGAAAAUACUCAUCAUUCGGGUAAGGGUCUCUCUAUGUAGCCCUGGCUAUCCUAGAACUAAGUAUAUAGACUGGGCUGGCCUGGAACUUACAGAGAUCUGCCUGCCUCUAGCGCUGGGAUUAAAGAUGCUGAGCACCCAGAAGAGGGACAGUGCCUGAUCCAUUCUGUCAAGUUCCACCAAUGUAGCCUUCUACACCAACAGGAGCUGUUCCAAGGACCAGAGCAUAGACCAGAGAGCACAUGUGGCAGAAUCCUGUUCAUAAGAAAGAAAUGCUAACCUCUGCAGGAAAAGCCACCACUGGGAGAUGGCACACAAAACAUCCCGCCUCCUGCCUACCAGGAAUUCUGGUGCCCACAGCAACUAGAUAAGACAUGCCCACUAGCUCAAAGUCACUACCUCCAAUCACCAAGUUUUGCAGGAGAUUUAGCACCUGCUAACCCUCCUGAAGAGAGGAUAAACUACACCAGAUGAAAACUCAACAAUACCACAGUAGAACAUAAGACUAGGCCUUGUAUUUGGAUGACUCUAAGAUAUAGCUGUGUCAAGUUCUAUGGAAUAAUUUUCACUAUAGUUUUUAAAUACAAAGAAACCAAGGAGAAGGAAAAGAAGAAAAAUUCUGUCUUAUAUUACAGAAGCUAUUCUAAAUAGUAAAGAAGCUGAUUUUCUACUCUAAAAAUCAUGGCUCAGGAAACUCGGCUCACUCGGAAUUUCUUGGACUAAUUCCCUGAGAAUAUCUAUCACAGUGGAAAAUAGACACAGUGCUUUUUGCUGAGCAGUUCCAGAGUAGGAACUCAUCCUACAAAUUUGAUCACUUCUGUGUCCCAUGCCAGAGAAUGAAAAGGAAAACAAGACCUAAACACACAAAGCAUCUUGGCUGAGAAUGAUCAGAGAAUGAGAGAAUAAUCAAGCCAGUGAGAGGCAGGAGUCCUGGGUAACUGAGUACCACUCAAAAAAGAUCAGAACAAAUCACCAUCAGUAACGACUGGGAAUUGACAAGGCUCAACUGCACACCAAAGAGGACUCUCUAAAUAAGGGAACUGAACUGAACUACCUGGAGUCACCUGACCAGUGAGUGGCAGAACAGAGAAUCUUCCUGGGAGUCUAUCUCCACACUGCCUGUGUUGAUCACAGAACUCUGAUGUGUCCAGCUAAAGCAGUCAUUUGCUUAGGCUUUUGAGUAAUCAUGGUCUUUUGUCUCUUUCCUGAUGAUAUAAGUAAUCCCAAUAAACGUGCUGGUUCAUUACAUUGGACUUGGUAGAAUUUGUGUGUGUGUGUGUGUGUGUGUGUGUGUGUGUGUGUGUGUGUGUGUGUGUGUGAUAGCCCUAUCUGAAAUAGACAUUUUUUUUCACAUUCACCAGGAAAAGUCACACAAUAAGGUAGUACCCAGGUUUAUUGAAAAAUCCUGGUUGGGAGAAAACAGGGCAAUACUUCAAGGGACAAAGUAUUCUUUGAUCCGUCUUGCCUGUGGAGAGGUAGGACAUGAAAAGAACAGUAGUGGGAUAAUGGCCCUGUGUCUACACACCCGGCCCAUAGGAGAUGUCUGCCAGGCGAGGAAGCAGUGUGACGGACUUCUUUGAUUUGUGACCUUACUCCUCUUUGAAUCUCUUUUCCAGAAUGUCCCAUGAUCCUGUUUCUUUUAACCUUGUUGUUUUGCCUUUCUUUUUCUCUUUCGUUUUUGUGAUAGGGUCUUGCUGCGUAGCCCUGGCUGUCCUUGAACCAUCGAUGGCAUCGGUUCUCGGGUUCUCAACCUGUGGGUCGUGACCCCUUCAGUAAUCCUCUGUCUUCAAAGUGUUUACAUUACAACUCCUAACAGUGGCAAAAUUACAGUUAUGAAGUAGUAAUGGAAAUAAUUUUAUGGUUGAAGGGUCACCACAACAUGAGGAACUGUAUUAAAGGGUCUAGAUAAACCAGGCUGGCCUCGAACUCGCGGUGAGCCACUUGCCUCCCCCUCUCAAGUGCUGAGAUUGCAGGCAUGUGCUACCGUACACCGGCAUCAUCAUUAGAUUUCGAUUAUCCAAUGCUCAUUUUUGGAGAAAUUUGACUUUAAAACCAUUUUUUCACACUAAAGCAUUCCAUCACCAGCAUACUUUUAUUUUCCCACUUAAAAGCUAAUUUUUAAAACAUUUUGACUUUUUUUAA